CAAAGGCAGCGGCAGGCCUACCAUGCAGUCGAGGGGCAGCACGGUGUAGCAAUACAUUGGUGACGACCGGCGCACGGGUGCGUAACGCGUAUACAAUUUGCCUUAUACAGGGAGAUAGCCCGGAGAAAUUCGGAUUAAUAUCCCAUACAAUUUUUUUCUCGCAUGAGAGAGAUCUAAAAGCUACGGCGGUAUAAGAUGAAUAUGCGUCUGAUUAGCUAGUUGGUGAGGUAAUGGCUCACCAAGGCUACGAUCAGUAGGGGGCCUGAGAGAGUUAUCCCCCACACUGGAACUGAGACACGGUCCAGACUCCUACGGGAGGCAGCAGUGAGGAAUAUUGGUCAAUGGAGGCAACUCUGAACCAGCCAUGCCGCGUGCAGGAAGAAUGCCCUAUGGGUUGUAAACUGCUUUUAUUUGGGAAGAAACCCCCUGACGUGUCGGGGGCUGACGGUACCAAAGGAAUAAGGAUCGGCUAACUCCGUGCCAGCAGCCGCGGUAAUACGGAGGAUCCAAGCGUUAUCCGGAAUCAUUGGGUUUAAAGGGUGCGCAGGCGGUUCUGUAAGUCAGUGGUGAAAUCUCCCGGCUCAACCGGGAAACUGCCAUUGAUACUGCAGAACUUGAAUACAGUUGAAGUAGGCGGAAUGUGUAGUGUAGCGGUGAAAUGCUUAGAUAUUACACAGAACACCGAUAGCGAAGGCAGCUUACUAAACUGAUAUUGACGCUCAUGCACGAAAGCGUGGGGAGCGAACAGGAUUAGAUACCCUGGUAGUCCACGCUGUAAACUAUGAUUACUCGUUCUCGGCGAUAUACGGUCGGGGACUAAGCGAAAGUGAUAAGUAAUCCACCUGGGGAGUACGAUCGCAAGAUUGAAACUCAAAGGAAUUGACGG
rnacentral:rRNA from 1 species